rnacentral:rRNA from 1 species
GGGUUGUGAGGUUAAGCGACUAAGCGUACACGGUGGAUGCCCUGGCAGUCAGAGGCGAUGAAGGACGUGCUAAUCUGCGAUAAGCGUCGGUAAGGUGAUAUGAACCGUUAUAACCGGCGAUUUCCGAAUGGGGAAACCCAGUGUGUUUCGACACACUAUCAUUAACUGAAUCCAUAGGUUAAUGAGGCGAACCGGGGGAACUGAAACAUCUAAGUACCCCGAGGAAAAGAAAUCAACCGAGAUUCCCCCAGUAGCGGCGAGCGAACGGGGAGGAGCCCAGAGCCUGAAUCAGUGUGUGUGUUAGUGGAAGCGUCUGGAAAGGCGCGCGAUACAGGGUGACAGCCCCGUACACAAAAAUGCACAUGCUGUGAGCUCGAUGAGUAGGGCGGGACACGUGGUAUCCUGUCUGAAUAUGGGGGGACCAUCCUCCAAGGCUAAAUACUCCUGACUGACCGAUAGUGAACCAGUACCGUGAGGGAAAGGCGAAAAGAACCCCGGCGAGGGGAGUGAAAAAGAACCUGAAACCGUGUACGUACAAGCAGUGGGAGCACGCUUAGGCGUGUGACUGCGUACCUUUUGUAUAAUGGGUCAGCGACUUAUAUUCUGUAGCAAGGUUAACCGAAUAGGGGAGCCGAAGGGAAACCGAGUCUUAACUGGGCGUUAAGUUGCAGGGUAUAGACCCGAAACCCGGUGAUCUAGCCAUGGGCAGGUUGAAGGUUGGGUAACACUAACUGGAGGACCGAACCGACUAAUGUUGAAAAAUUAGCGGAUGACUUGUGGCUGGGGGUGAAAGGCCAAUCAAACCGGGAGAUAGCUGGUUCUCCCCGAAAGCUAUUUAGGUAGCGCCUCGUGAAUUCAUCUCCGGGGGUAGAGCACUGUUUCGGCAAGGGGGUCAUCCCGACUUACCAACCCGAUGCAAACUGCGAAUACCGGAGAAUGUUAUCACGGGAGACACACGGCGGGUGCUAACGUCCGUCGUGAAGAGGGAAACAACCCAGACCGCCAGCUAAGGUCCCAAAGUCAUGGUUAAGUGGGAAACGAUGUGGGAAGGCCCAGACAGCCAGGAUGUUGGCUUAGAAGCAGCCAUCAUUUAAAGAAAGCGUAAUAGCUCACUGGUCGAGUCGGCCUGCGCGGAAGAUGUAACGGGGCUAAACCAUGCACCGAAGCUGCGGCAGCGACGCUGAUGCGUUGUUGGGUAGGGGAGCGUUCUGUAAGCCUGCGAAGGUGUGCUGUGAGGCAUGCUGGAGGUAUCAGAAGUGCGAAUGCUGACAUAAGUAACGAUAAAGCGGGUGAAAAGCCCGCUCGCCGGAAGACCAAGGGUUCCUGUCCAACGUUAAUCGGGGCAGGGUGAGUCGACCCCUAAGGCGAGGCCGAAAGGCGUAGUCGAUGGGAAACAGGUUAAUAUUCCUGUACUUGGUGUUACUGCGAAGGGGGGACGGAGAAGGCUAUGUUGGCCGGGCGACGGUUGUCCCGGUUUAAGCGUGUAGGCUGGUUUUCCAGGCAAAUCCGGAAAAUCAAGGCUGAGGCGUGAUGACGAGGCACUACGGUGCUGAAGCAACAAAUGCCCUGCUUCCAGGAAAAGCCUCUAAGCAUCAGGUAACAUCAAAUCGUACCCCAAACCGACACAGGUGGUCAGGUAGAGAAUACCAAGGCGCUUGAGAGAACUCGGGUGAAGGAACUAGGCAAAAUGGUGCCGUAACUUCGGGAGAAGGCACGCUGAUAUGUAGGUGAGGUCCCUUGCGGAUGGAGCUGAAAUCAGUCGAAGAUACCAGCUGGCUGCAACUGUUUAUUAAAAACACAGCACUGUGCAAACACGAAAGUGGACGUAUACGGUGUGACGCCUGCCCGGUGCCGGAAGGUUAAUUGAUGGGGUUAGCGGUAACGCGAAGCUCUUGAUCGAAGCCCCGGUAAACGGCGGCCGUAACUAUAACGGUCCUAAGGUAGCGAAAUUCCUUGUCGGGUAAGUUCCGACCUGCACGAAUGGCGUAAUGAUGGCCAGGCUGUCUCCACCCGAGACUCAGUGAAAUUGAACUCGCUGUGAAGAUGCAGUGUACCCGCGGCAAGACGGAAAGACCCCGUGAACCUUUACUAUAGCUUGACACUGAACAUUGAGCCUUGAUGUGUAGGAUAGGUGGGAGGCUUUGAAGUGUGGACGCCAGUCUGCAUGGAGCCGACCUUGAAAUACCACCCUUUAAUGUUUGAUGUUCUAACGUUGACCCGUAAUCCGGGUUGCGGACAGUGUCUGGUGGGUAGUUUGACUGGGGCGGUCUCCUCCUAAAGAGUAACGGAGGAGCACGAAGGUUGGCUAAUCCUGGUCGGACAUCAGGAGGUUAGUGCAAUGGCAUAAGCCAGCUUGACUGCGAGCGUGACGGCGCGAGCAGGUGCGAAAGCAGGUCAUAGUGAUCCGGUGGUUCUGAAUGGAAGGGCCAUCGCUCAACGGAUAAAAGGUACUCCGGGGAUAACAGGCUGAUACCGCCCAAGAGUUCAUAUCGACGGCGGUGUUUGGCACCUCGAUGUCGGCUCAUCACAUCCUGGGGCUGAAGUAGGUCCCAAGGGUAUGGCUGUUCGCCAUUUAAAGUGGUACGCGAGCUGGGUUUAGAACGUCGUGAGACAGUUCGGUCCCUAUCUGCCGUGGGCGCUGGAGAACUGAGGGGGGCUGCUCCUAGUACGAGAGGACCGGAGUGGACGCAUCACUGGUGUUCGGGUUGUCAUGCCAAUGGCACUGCCCGGUAGCUAAAUGCGGAAGAGAUAAGUGCUGAAAGCAUCUAAGCACGAAACUUGCCCCGAGAUGAGUUCUCCCUGACUCCUUGAGAGUCCUGAAGGAACGUUGAAGACGACGACGUUGAUAGGCCGGGUGUGUAAGCGCAGCGAUGCGUUGAGCUAACCGGUACUAAUGAACCGUGAGGCUUAACCUUACAACGCCGAAG